CAAUCCUGGAUGAAGCCCUCCCGCGCCGGGACCUCAACUCCCACGGCGUCCGGGUCUUGUGGCGCUGCUUGGACUUCCUGGUGCGACAGGUGAGGCUGCGGCGUGUUUUCCAACAGAAGGCCGCCAGAGAAAAGGAGGUUAAUAAAGUCCUCAAUACGAAGCUGGAGGAGGCCUUGCAGCUCAUUGAGGUGCUGCAGGCCACGGGGUCCUUUGAACAGGAUGGCGGUGAUGGAGGAGACGAUCUGUCCAAUCAGCCUGUUGAGGUUGGCGUAGGUGGGGCGUAGUUGUUGGCUGCGUCCUCCUUACCGGUGAUCAGCUGCUCGGGGUGGAAGAGCUGGCGGCAGGUUCCUUAAAUGAUGAUGAUGAGGAGGUGAAGGCCCUUCGGCGAGAGGGACAAUUGUUUAUUUAUUCAAUCCUGGAUGAAGCCCUCCCGCGCCGGGACC